GAAGCUUAGGUUGAACCCCUUAGGUAUAAAUCAGAUAAUUUAAUAAUUUAGUUUGAUAAUGACACACACGCUCCCAGACUCGAAGGCUUUAUAAGUUCAAGGACGUUUUCUCCAUCUACCCUUUGGGUGGUAGGGAAGUUCAAGAUCCCUCUCUAAUGUCCAUCCCCGUUAGGGGUGGGAUACCAUAGUUAAGUGUUUUUAGGUCACAGAGCCAAUAAAUGCCUGAGGUAGGGUUUGAACUCUUGUCUUUGACAUCUUCCAGCACAGAAUUAUCUAUAACGUUGAAUUAGGGUAAGUACAGCGCCUGGCCCAAAGAACUAAUGCUUGGACAAGAUUUGAAUUUCCCAGCCUACAAAGCUUCUAAAGAGCAAGGUCAGGAGCCGCCCACCUUUCUGGCUUCACGCCCAUCUUACCCAGAGAAGAAAGGAUUGAUUAUAGGCCAUUAAAAGAUGUGAAGAUCUUUCAUCAGCUUUGUCUCCUGUGAAAAGUGGAGUCUGUGAACAACCACAGGAAAUAUAUGGAUUUUAAGAACAAUAACAUGUCAAUAAAACACCUGCAAAUUUAUGGAGUACUUGGCACAUUUUUGCCUUUGACUCUUUGAUGGUCCCUGAGGGUGCCACGAUCCCCUUUUGCCAAUGCAGGAACAGCCUCAGAGAAAUGCACAGUACUAAGUGUGACACAUGUAGUCACUCAUGUUAGAGACAUUCUGUUGGUGGUGUUUUGUCUUCAUCACCAUGGCUACAAGGUCACAGGGAAUAGGUAGAGCUCUUCCACAGUUGAAAUAAGUAAACAGAAGACGGAUCCUUUGCAUUCAAAUGAAC